GUACCGUUUUAAUGCCGAUCAUUAAAGCAUGUGUUUUAACAUUCACGAGUAUAUUAGUCAUGUUAGUCAUUAGUAACGAAAGUGAAUUAGUAUUUCUAAAUAAACACGGAACAAAGUAAAAAAAUAAGGAAUCGAUGCAAUGUACCUAGUUUAAACUUGAAGAAUGACCAGCGCGACUACGAUGGCGCCGAGUGACCGAUUGCUUAGUAUGUCCGCUUGCGUUGAUCGACAGAUGCGAUCUUCAAGCAACCCGCGCGUUAAAG